rnacentral:rRNA from 1 species
GGCCGCAGUAUUUUAACUGUGCAAAGGUAGCAUAAUCAUUAGUUUUUUAAUUGAAAGCUGGAAUGAAUGGUUGGACGAAAUAUUAACUGUUUCAUAAAAAUUUUUAAUAAAAUUUUAUUUUUUAGUCAAAAAGCUAAAAUAUUUUUAAAAGACGAGAAGACCCUAUAAAUCUUUAUAUUUAUUUUUAUGAUAAAUUUUUAUAAAUUUUUAUUUAUUAUUAUUUUAAAUAUUUUAUUGGGGUGAUAUUAAAAUUUAAAAAACUUUUAUUAUUUUUUUUUACAUUAAUUUAUGAAUUAUUGAUCCAUUAUUAGUGAUUAAAAAAUUAAGUUACUUUAGGGAUAACAGCGUAAUUUUUUUGGAAAGUUCAUAUUGAUAAAAAAGAUUGCGACCUCGAUGUUGGAUU